rnacentral:rRNA from 1 species
ACGCUUUCACUCCUACGGGAGGCAGCAGUGGGGAAUAUUGCACAAUGGGCGCAAGCCUGAUGCAGCCAUGCCGCGUGUAUGAAGAAGGCCUUCGGGUUGUAAAGUACUUUCAGCAGUGAGGAAGGUGGAGUCGUUAAUAGCGGCCUCAUUUGACGUUAGCUGCAGAAGAAGCACCGGCUAACUCCGUGCCAGCAGCCGCGGUAAUACGGAGGGUGCGAGCGUUAAUCGGAAUUACUGGGCGUAAAGCGUGCGUAGGCGGUUAUAUAAGCUAGAUGUGAAAGCCCGGGGCUUAACCUCGGAACUGCAUUUAGAACUGUAUGACUAGAGUUUUGUAGAGGGUGGUGGAAUUUCCAGUGUAGCGGUGAAAUGCGUAGAGAUUGGAAGGAACAUCAGUGGCGAAGGCGGCCACCUGGACAAAAACUGACGCUGAGGCACGAAAGCGUGGGUAGCAAACAGGAUUAGAUACCCUGGUAG